rnacentral:rRNA from 1 species
AUUGAACGCUGGCGGCAUGCUUUACACAUGCAAGUCGAACGGUAACAGGCCGCAAGGUGCUGACGAGUGGCGAACGGGUGAGUAAUGCAUCGGAACGAGCCCAGUCGUGGGGGAUAACGCAGCGAAAGCUGCGCUAAUACCGCAUACGAUCUAUGGAUGAAAGCGGGGGACCGUAAGGCCUCGCGCGAUUGGAGCGGCCGAUGUCAGAUUAGGUAGUUGGUGGGGUAAAGGCUCACCAAGCCAACGAUCUGUAGCUGGUCUGAGAGGACGACCAGCCACACUGGGGCUGAGACACGGCCCAGACUCCUACGGGAGGCAGCAGUGGGGAAUUUUGGACAAUGGGCGCAAGCCUGAUCCAGCAAUGCCGCGUGCAGGAAGAAGGCCUUCGGGUUGUAAACUGCUUUUGUACGGAACGAAACGGUCCUGGUUAAUACCUGGGGCUAAUGACGGUACCGUAAGAAUAAGCACCGGCUAACUACGUGCCAGCAGCCGCAGUAACAC